GGAAUAAAAGCUGGACCCCUGGCCGUAGAUGUUCAUACAAAGCACCACAAUGGGUUACGUCACAGGUGUCUUGUUAAGCGGACUGUUUGUCAUGGUUUUCUUUACUGAACAAGCGCAUGCUAUGCCACGAAACACUGUUGCAAAGAGGCAGGAUUUAUUGGAACUAAAUUCCGACAUCGAAGAGAUACAGUCUGAUAUAGACGAACUGAGAACAAAUCAACAGGAAUUAGAGAAUGCCGUGAACACCCUGAAUAUGUCAAUCAUUGGUCCCGGACCUCCACAAGAUGAUUUAAGAUUAGUGGAUGGUGCCUCUCAGUAUGAGGGACGUGUGGAGGUGUACUACAAUGGGUACUGGGGCACAGUUUGUGACGACCGCUGGAAUGAUGAUGAUGCCGAAGUCGUUUGUCGUCAACUAGGGUACAGUGGUGGAAUUUCAAGAACGAACGCUCAUUUCGGACAGGGAAGUGGACAUGUUUGGAUGGACGACAUAUUGUGCGAUGGGUCUGAAAGCCGCCUUCAGGACUGCAAUUUCAAUGGUUGGGGUAACGAAAACUGUCACCACGGAGAGGAUGCCGGUGUAGAGUGUAAUGACCCUGACAGAACUACUAUUGAACCGGCAAGGUCAGAUCAAGCUGCAAUCCGCCUGGUGGACGGCCCCUCGGAUUCCGCCGGGCGACUGGAAGUGUUCCACGACGGUGUAUGGGGCACGGUAUGUGAUGAUUCCUUUGACCGCCUGGAUGUUCGUGUUGCUUGUCGACAAUUGGGUUAUAGUGAGAAUGAAGGUCAAAGAGUCAAAAAAUUUGGUCAAGGAUCUGGACGCAUAUGGCUGGACAAUGUAGAAUGUGCAGGAGAAGAGGCAGCUCUCUCGGAAUGUUCAUCCAAUGACUGGGGUAUUGAGAACUGUCAACACCACGAAGACGUUGGAAUAGUAUGUGUUGCUCCUAACACUACCGAGUCACCUGUUGUAGAUCCUAGAGAUAUGAUACGUCUGGUGGGAGGUGAAACAGCGUACGAGGGUCGAGUAGAAUUCUACCUUAACGGAGAAUGGGGAACGGUGUGUGAUGACUACUGGAACACGUCAACAGCAAGGGUUGCUUGUCGACAGCUCGGGUUCAGAGGAGGUGUGGUUCACUCUUCGGCCUACUUUGGACCAGGAUCUGGACCCACGCAAUUGGACGAUGUAAAAUGUGGCGGUGAUGAGUCCAACCUUCUUGACUGCAGUCACUUCGAAACACCGAACGAGGAUUGUCAUCAUGGGGAAGAUGUCGGCGUUACCUGCGAAUCACCGGAAGGAACACCUACAACACAAUGGGCGACAGAGUUACCACAAACAACACCAGUCUCCAUGACACUUUUGCCUGACGUCACAGGAACAAGUGGGACAGCAUGUGAUAUGAUGUCAGUUAUGAGGUGUAGUGGUUAUCUCUCUGAUAUCAGUGCUGACACAAUGGCCAGUACAGACGGUUUGCGCCAGCUAUGCAGUGUGAAUUACCCUCGGUUUGUCGAGUGUGUAGAAAACCUACCAAUCUCUUGUAUCAACGACGAACAAAGUAGAGUUAUGGCAGAACAGAGGGCAACGAUGGACGGGUUGUGUGCUUCUUCGUGUAUCAGAAGGCGGUUGUUCAGUCAUGGCAUACAUGUCUUGCAUGGAGAUCAUCGCAGCGAAUCAGCCGGACAGUAUGAAUUUCGCUGCCUUGUGCAGUUCGUAUCCUCAGUUCCAAGACUGUUUAAACAAUCUGCCAGCCUCGUGCAGUGACGACACUACAUAUAACGAGUCUAUCAGGCCUACACAGGCAAUGUUGCAGAGCUUGUGUCUAUAGUUUUCCGAACGAAAUGAGUGCCACGGAGAGAAACAUGCCUCUGAUUAACAGCCAGGAUGAGACCGAAACCAGGAAUGGAGAAUUCGUAAAAACUGCCCAUGCAAUGGACUUUUUUUUUGCGCCUCACUAAUAAAGUUCAUUGUGAUUUGUU